rnacentral:rRNA from 1 species
GACGAACGCUGGCGGCGUGCUUAACACAUGCAAGUCGAGCGGAAAGGCCCUUUCGGGGGUACUCGAGCGGCGAACGGGUGAGUAACACGUGAGUAAUCUGCCCUGGACUCUGGGAUAGCCACCGGAAACGGUGAUUAAUACCGGAUAUGACACCUUUCUGCAUGGUGGGGUGUGGAAAGUGUUUUCGGUCCAGGUUGUGCUCGCGGCCUAUCAGCUUGUUGGUGAGGUAAUGGCUCACCAAGGCUUUGACGGGUAGCCGGCCUGAGAGGGUGACCGGUCACACUGGGACUGAGACACGGCCCAGACUCCCACGGGAGGCAGCAGUGGGGAAUAUUGGACAAUGGGCGGAAGCCUGAUCCAGCAACGCCGCGUGAGGGAUGACGGCCUUCGGGUUGUAAACCUCUUUCAGUACCGACGAAGCGAAAGUGACGGUAGGUACAGAAGAAGGACCGGCCAACUACGUGCCAGCAGCCGCGGUAAAAC